AACGAACGCUGGCGGCGUGGAUUAGGCAUGCAAGUCGAACGAGAAUCUGGAGGUUCAAGUUUUCGGACAAGAACUUUCGGAGGAAAGUGGCGGAAGGGUGAGUACAACAUGGAUAAUCUACCUUCAAGUUGGGUAUAGCUUCCCGAAAGGGGAGAUAAUCCCGAAUGUGGUGAUCCGGCGCCUGUCGGAGAAUCCAAAGGUGGGGACCGCAAGGCCUGCCGCUUGAAGAUGAGUCCGUGCACUAUCAGCUAGUUGGUGAGGUAAUGGCUCACCAAGGCGAUGACGGUUAGCUGGUCUGAGAGGAUGGUCAGCCACACUGGGACUGAGAUACUGCCCAGACUCCUACGGGAGGCUGCAGUCGAGAAUCAUUCGCAAUGGGCGCAAGCCUGACGGUGCGACGUCGCGUGGAGGAUGAAGGUCUUCGGAUUGUAAACUCCUGUCAUGUGGGAUAAAUGGCCAGGGCAUGAAUAGUGCCUUGG
rnacentral:rRNA from 1 species